GACGAACGCUGGCGGCGUGCCUAAUACAUGCAAGUCGAACGCAGUGGGGACGGGUGAGUAACACGUGGGUAACCUCCCAUCAGAGGGGAUAACACUUGGAAACAGGUGCUAAACCGUUACUGAAGGAUGGACCCGCAGUGCAUUAGCUAGUUGGUGAGGGAACGGCUCACCAAGGCCAAGAUGCAUAGCCGACCUGAGAUGCGGAUCGGCCACACGGGGACUAGAACACGGCCCAGCGUCCGACGAAAGGCAGCAGUAGGGAAGGUUCUGCAAUGCACGAAUGUCUGACCGAGCAACGCAGCGUGAGUGAGGAAGGUUUUCGGAUGGAAAAGCUAUGUUGUUAGAGAAGCGGUAUCUAACCAGAAAGCCACGGCUAACUACGUGCCAGCAGCCGCGGUAAUUC
rnacentral:rRNA from 1 species